GACGAACGCUGGCGGCGUGCUUAACACAUGCAAGUCGAACGGAAAGGCCCUGCUUUUGUGGGGUGCUCGAGUGGCGAACGGGUGAGUAACACGUGAGUAACCUGCCCUUGACUUUGGGAUAACUUCAGGAAACUGGGGCUAAUACCGGAUAUGAGCUCCUGCUGCAUGGUGGGGGUUGGAAAGUUUCGGCGGUUGGGGAUGGACUCGCGGCUUAUCAGCUUGUUGGUGGGGUAGUGGCUUACCAAGGCUUUGACGGGUAGCCGGCCUGAGAGGGUGACCGGCCACAUUGGGACUGAGAUACGGCCCAGACUCCUACGGGAGGCAGCAGUGGGGAAUAUUGCACAAUGGGCGGAAGCCUGAUGCAGCAACGCCGCGUGCGGGAUGACGGCCUUCGGGUUGUAAACCGCUUUCGCCUGUGACGAAGCGUGAGUGACGGUAAUGGGUAAAGAAGCAACGGCUAACUACGUG
rnacentral:rRNA from 1 species